ACGCACCAUAAUGGAAUACACGUGUAGACCAUGGGAGACUACAAACAACAGGAGUAGGUCACAAAACCAUUGGAAACCGCCAUUUCCUUUAAUCCCUGCUCUCAGAAAACCAAUCGUUCUUAUCGCCCUCAUAAAAAAUCCCCAUCACCAAAACCCUUUUGAAUAAAACAUCAACUACCCACAAGCCAUUCCAACACCCGCUCCGUCGUCCUCUCCAACACCCCUACAGUUCAAAGCCACCAUCUCUACCAGGUAACUAUUUUCCAGAUUUAGACCAUCUCCCCUUCUCCAUCCCUCUUGUACUAGGAAAUAAGCCAAUAUGUUCACCUCUCGGGGACAUAAAUAACCUCACAGUCUCCAAAUUUUCGUUGUUCAAUUCUAAUGUCAUGAAUAUACGCCCCAAUGCUGAUCUAUCAACACAGCUUGAGUUCGUUUUCGUUAUCACAGAAAGAGAAUCCCCUUCCACCACCACCCUUUUAAAACCAAGAUCCACCCCCAAUCUAAGCGCUUAAAGGCAUGCAAGUGCCUCAGCCGCAAAGACCGACGGAAUUUGAAGUAAGAACAUGAAAUGCCGGAUCAAAAUUUAUCUUAACGAAAGGUUCAUCUAGUGGUCUCCACCUCUCAAAACCCACUUUCGUAACAGGUCCCAACAACAGCAACAAAAGGAUAAUCCCGAAAGUCAUGCUCCAAAUCCUCCACACCCCGUACACACUUUGGGCAAAUCGUAGAACCCACCAAGCGUCUAUUGUACAAGUUGUGUGAAUUAGGAAUUAGAUUCUUGGAAAUGCGUCAGACUGUGAUUUUAACCUUUUUUGGAAUUUUUAGUUUCCAUAGCUUCUUGUAAAAAAUAUUGUAACAAUCCACUGCAUUUUCAUUUAACUCUUUAUUUCCUUGUAAUAAUUUGUAACUGCUCUGAAUGGUAUACUCACCUACGGGUUCAACUCGCCAAACCACCAUAUCCGGCCGAGGAUGCGAGGCAAGAGGAAUACACUGAAUCCUACUCGCCACAUCAAGAUCAAAACAACUACCUGAAUUUUUUGUAUAGGUAGACCAGGGACCCAGCUAUCCUCUUAUAUGUCAAUGCUUGUGCCUGUGCCCACUUGCUAGCCCAGGCCCUCAGAAGCAGACCCUUUGUAGAUCAUAUACUCUUUUAGAACGAAAAAACCAUAGCCAAGGGAGGAGCAAGCUUCGACCAAAGAAAUUUCAAUUGCAUGGGGUUAUACGAUUUCGGGUGCUGGUCUUGGAUGUUCUACCAAUGGCUGGGGUCCUACAUUUGUUGUCAAUUCCCCACAGCUCGUGUGAGCAGCAUCGUGUAGCUUAACAUUGCGACCCACAGCUCGUGUGAGCAUAUAUGAUUACAUGUUCCAAUCACAGCUUAUAUCACCGGAAAAGCUCAUCGAUUGGAAUUUCGUCGGAGUACAAUCACACUAUCCAUCCUUCUCUUUGGUAGUUUUUUAUUACUUAGUUGAUGGUUAUAAAUGGCAUGUAAUAAGUGUUUUGAGUUAUUUUUCCAAUAUGGUGUGAAUUGAUCUUACUUGUAGCUACUUGUAUAUAUGUUUUUUGUUUUGCUUGUAAAUGUCUAAAAUUAUGUGUUUUAUGGACACUUUGGUUAUGCCUAUGGAAAGUGUUAAAGUCAUUAUGGUUUAUACUGAGAAUGAAAUGACUUUUUGGUA